UCACCCUAGACUUACCACCGUUUCUGUUACUACUUUUUACAGUACUCCAUUUGUUUAUAUUAUAUAUAAAUAAUUCAAUUUAUUUUUCAAGAGUAUUUUUCAAGAAAAAUUUUAUGUGAAAAAAACUUCCGUCCUACCAAACAUAAAUAUCAAUACACUAGUGGAACAAGAAUGCAAGAGCACUACAUGAAUGUUCAUCGAUGGUGCUCCGAGAAUAUUUUUAUUUUGCCAACCAAUUGUUUACUGAAAAUAUUCAACUUUAUCUUUUAUAGAAGAUGGGGCUUGAGCUACGAGUUCAAUUUACCGAACGAGAAGUACUACAAAUUUAUAACUAACAUUCUUUUUUUAUGCUUCCAACCUAUUAUGUUGAUAUUGUUCCUAGUAUGUGAUGAGGCGUACUAAUUUUCACCAAAUGAUGGUAAAUAGUAUCCUUAUCACGUGAUUAUUGCAAAUUCUAAAAUUUCUUCAAAUAUUCAAUUUUUCAUAUCGGUUUAACUAGGUCCCUUACAUUUUCGUUUUUCUUUUGUUUUGGGGUUAGGAGAAGGAAUCCAGAUGUCUCAAUGUCUUUUUAUGCAUUACUUAUCACAUGUUCAUCUGCAAAUUAAAGCAAUUAUCUGGAAUUCGUUUGGCUAAUAUAUCAGCCAGACUUUGAACUAUUUCGUUCUCUUUAAAGAUAGCUGAUUAAACUAUGAAUGAUCUUCUCGAUUGAUCAAAAACAUAUAGAAGGAAUUAAGUGAAAUAAACUUGCAGAAAAUACGGGGGAUGGAGAUCACAAUUAGCACAAGAAAUUAAAUUGCAUGUGUGGUCACUAGAUUUUACUACUCAGUAAAUUACAAAAUUAUUAUUUUUUCUCAUUAAAAUCAUUGAAUUUUAUCAUAUUUCAGUAAAGACAAAACUAACUUUGUUAUCAUUAAUUUCCCUAGAUUAUGUGUUAUGACUUCUCUGCCAAAUGUAUUCAGUUCUGCCAUUUGCAUUACUACAUAAAGCAUGAAGUUUGCAAACCAAGAAAAAUAUUUUAGGAACAAUAUUAUUCUUCAUGUGGUCCAACUUGACUGCACUUCUGUAAUGGGUGAAAUAUAAAGGAUCCCGUUGUACCAAUGUGGUCGAGACACAUGACACAAAGGAUAAGACUUCAGCUGAGUCAGCAUCGCUGCGACCGGGGAAGAUCUAUGUACUUGUUUAGGGGCAGAGAAGAUGGACGGCGUUCAAGGCAUGGAAUCUGAGAAGAUCUGCAGGCCUUUGUUCAUUUCUUCUUAACCUCUUUCAUUUAUUUAUCUGUUGCUUCUUCAUUUAUUCACUGGUGUUCUUCAAGAUUCUCAUCUAUAAGUUGGAUAAAUUACACAUUAUUUUGGAAUUGUGCCAGUAUUUGCUGCUUGGUUGUAUUUAAGAGUACAAGAAAAGAAUCAUCAUACUGGAAAGAAAGACCGGACUGUUCUGACAUGGUUUAACUCUUGCUUGGAACAAGACAUCAACUAGAUGCAAGAGAAGUGGUGACAAAGCAUUCUCAGGUAGAUAUGAAAAUUAGCUAGGAAGAAAAGACGGGUACUCUAACAGAGGAUAUGGCUAAAAGAAAGGUUCAGAGCAGUGCAAUGUUGUUGCUUCUCUUGCUAUGUUGUAUUUCUAUGUUGUUGCUCAUUAGAUUCUUAGAAUAUUGUUGUGUGUAAAUGUGUUCAUCCUUAUUGAUUAAACUCAGAAUUAUGAUCUGGGUCA